rnacentral:rRNA from 1 species
UACGGGGGGGGCAAGCGUUGUUCGGAAUUACUGGGCGUAAAGGGCUCGUAGGCGGCCAACUAAGUCAGACGUGAAAUCCCUCGGCUUAACCGGGGAACUGCGUCUGAUACUGGAUGGCUUGAGUUUGGGAGAGGGAUGCGGAAUUCCAGGUGUAGCGGUGAAAUGCGUAGAUAUCUGGAGGAACACCGGUGGCGAAGGCGGCACCCUGGACCAACACUGACGCUGAGUGAGCGAAAGCCAGGGGAGCAAACGGG